AUUGCCGCAGAAAUGAGCUUGAGGAAACUCCCAGGCAGACAAAGUCGGCUCAGUGGAACUCACAGAUGGGCCCUGCCCGGUCAAUGCCCCCGCUGUGAUAGGCUUCUACUUGGGUUCCUUCCUUUUGGUGGAUAGGUGUGCUAUGGACAGUGGAGAAGAUCACAGUGCUGGGCAUGCCAGAGCACUUGCCCCUUCCCAGGGGUGCCAUGAAGGUGCAGUGAAUGGAGAAAGUUUAUGAGCCUCUGCACUCAACAUUUUGCCAUUGGUAGAACCCAGGAGGUUAAUGUUGGAGAAGGCCUUUUAGUGCAAAGAGCCCACCCUGGUUGUACAUUCUAGGGAAACCUCUCUGUGUCUAUAUCAUCACAUCAGCCUGUGAUGUAAUCAAUCUCUCUCUGUCUCUGUCUGUGCUUUUCCCUCUUACUAUCUCUCUCUGUCUCUCUCUCUCACACACACACACACAUACAUAUACAUAUAGUUUCCUUUCCCUCACACAAACACUAAUAUCCCCUGACCCUAAUCAGACAGUUGCCAAAACCCCAUUUGUCUGAGUUCCCUUUAUUUCAAUUUUUUGCCCUUUUUCAACUGUUUCAGGAAGCAAACCAGUUCUGUUUUUCAACUUGAACCUAGUCAAUGUUCAAGCUGAGCAUCUACUUCUCAGGUUAGAAGUCACAUCAUCAGCUCAGACCUGUUUGAUACCAUGAAAAGCAGACACACAAAUGGACCCCCUCCCCAGACAGUACUUCAGACUCU
rnacentral:lncRNA from 1 species